rnacentral:rRNA from 1 species
AAAAACUCCGGUGGUAUGGGAUGGACCCGCGUCUGAUUAGCCAGUUGGCAGGGUAACGGCCUACCAAAGCGACGAUCAGUAGCCGGCCUGAGAGGGUGGACGGCCACAUUGGGACUGAGACACGGCCCAAACUCCUACGGGAGGCAGCAGUGGGGAAUAUUGCACAAUGGGGGAAACCCUGAUGCAGCGACGCCGCGUGAGUGAAGAAGUAUUUCGGUAUGUAAAGCUCUAUCAGCAGGAACGAGACAAGACGGUACCUGACUAAGAAGCCCCGGCUAACUACGUGCCAGCAGCCGCGGUAAUACGUAGGGGGCAAGCGUUAUCCGGAAUCACUGGGUGUAAAGGGAGCGUAGACGGCUGAGCAAGCCUGAAGUGAAAGGCGGGGGCCCAACCCCUGGACUGCUUUGGGAACUGUACGGCUGGAGUGCAGGAGAGGUAAGUGGAAUUCCUAGUGUAGCGGUGAAAUGCGUAGAUAUUAGGAGGAACACCAGUGGCGAAGGCGGCUUACUGGACUGUAACUGACGUUGAGGCUCGAAAGCGUGGGGAGCAAACAGGAUUAGAUACCCUGGUAGUCCACGCCGUAAACGAUGAUUACUAGGUGUCGGGGGGCAGAGGCCCUUCG